UACGGGGGGGGCAAGCGUUGUUCGGAAUUACUGGGCGUAAAGGGCUUGUAGGUGGCCAACUAAGUCCGACGUGAAAUCCCUAGGCUUAACCUAGGAACUGCGUCGGAUACUGGAUGGCUUGAAUCCGGGAGAGGGAUGCGGAAUUCCAGGUGUAGCGGUGAAAUGCGUAGAUAUCAGGAGGAACACCGGUGGCGAAGGCGGGUCUCUGGGCAGUAACUGACGCUGAGGAGCGAAAGCGUGGGGAGCGAACAGG
rnacentral:rRNA from 1 species